GGUCUUUUAAGUCUGAUGUGAAAUCUUGCGGCUUAACCGUAAGCGGUCAUUGGAAACUGGAGGACUUGAGUACAGAAGAGGAGAGUGGAAUUCCACGUGUAGCGGUGAAAUGCGUAGAGAUGUGGAGGAACACCAGUGGCGAAGGCGACUCUCUGGUCUGUAACUGACGCUGAGGAGCGAAAGCGUGGGGAGCGAACAGGAUUAGAUACCCUGGUAGUCCACGCCGUAAACGAUGAGUGCUAGGUGUUAGGGGGUUUCCGCCCCUUAGUGCUGCAGUUAACGCAUUAAGCACUCCGCCUGGGGAGUACGGCCGCAAGGCUGAAACUCAAAAGAAUUGACGGGGACCCGCACAAGCGGUGGAGCAUGUGGUUUAAUUCGAAGCAACGCGAAGAACCUUACCAGGUCUUGACAUCCCACUGCCCGCUAUAGAGAUAUAGCUUUCCCUUCGGGGACAGUGGUGACAGGUGGUGCAUGGUUGUCGUCAGCUCGUGUCGUGAGAUGUUGGGUUAAGUCCCGCAACGAGCGCAACCCUUGAUCUUAGUUGCCAGCAUUCAGUUGGGCACUCUAAGGUGACUGCCGGUGACAAACCGGAGGAAGGUGGGGAUGACGUCAAAUCAUCAUGCCCCUUAUGACCUGGGCUACACACGUGCUACAAUGGAUGGUACAAAGGGCAGCGAAGCCGUGAGGUGUAGCAAAUCCCAUAAAACCAUUCUCAGUUCGGAUUGUAGGCUGCAACUCGCCUACAUGAAGCCGG
rnacentral:rRNA from 1 species